rnacentral:lncRNA from 1 species
CGGGUUCGCCGGAUUUUUUCCAGAAACCGGCAGGUGCUCCGAUCGACGUAAAAACUUCCACCACUCGCUUCAAUUUCUUCAUGGAACUGUUUCAGAACUUCAAUCCGAGUUCAUCUGUCCAAGAAUCUCGAAGAUUUAUCGUCUAGAACUCGAGAUAUCGGCGUUGACUCAAAAUCAGGCUUAAAUCGGAACAAGCUUGCCGCCGCCCAUACAGGCCGUGCCGCUAUUCAAGGCUUCCACAUACAGGUGCGAAAGGACCAUAUGAAGCUAAUGGAAGAAGUUUGGUGAAGAUUGGUGGCCGGAGGAGGAAGAUAUGACCGAACGAAAAAUCAAGGGCGAUUUCCGGCGGGGAACGACGCUGCUGCC